rnacentral:lncRNA from 1 species
UUUUUUUGUUCUUUUAGACAUCGUUUGGUUCGGGUAUAAGUAAGAACUAGUUAUACCGGGGAUAGGUACAAGAAUGAAUUUUCGUAGGAACAACGGUAUUUUUUUUUGUUUGGAUGAAAAUGUGAGUGUAAGCUGGAACUAGAAAAAUUAUGUUUGGAUGAAAAUCUGAGUAUAAGGUAGAAUAGUUUGUAGUUAUAGAUAGAAAAUAAUAAUUUUACCUCUAUAAUUGAAUUUAACAUUUUAAACUAAUAAUUUUAAAUUAAAAAUUUUAACUUUUAAAUUUUAAAAUUUGAAAUUAAAAUUAAAACUUAUAAUUUUCAAAAUUUAAAUUUUAAAUAUCAAAUUUUAAAUUUAAGAUCAAAUUUAAAUUUGAAAGAUAUAAAAUAUAAAAUUUUAAAUUUUAAAUCUAAAAAAUUAAAUUUAAAAUUUAAAAAUUACAAAUAUCAAAUUUAUAAUUUAAACAUUAAAAUUUAUAAUUUAAAAUUAUAAAUUUAAAUUUUAAAAAACUAAAUUAUAAAUUUUAGAAAUUAAAAUUAGAAUUAAAAUUAAAAAUCUAUCUCUCUCUCUCUCUCUCUCUCUCUCUUUCUACCACCCCUUGUUCCACCCCUUGGUUGGAACACUUGUUCAAGGCCCCCCUUGUACCAGGUUGGGGUGGAACAAAUGUUCCACGCCCCUCCAAAUUAUGUUUGGGUACAAGAGGGGGGAUAACCCCCUUAUCCCCCUCUCUUGUACCCAUUCCAAAUAGGGUGUUAGGCUUCGUUGGUUUGGGUAUUAGUAGGAACUAGUUAUUCCAUGGAUAGAUACAAAUAUGGAUAUUUGUAAGAACAAGAGUAAUUUUUUGUUUGGAUGACAAUGUGAAUAUAAGUAAGAACAAGAGAAAUAGUAUUUGGAUGGUUUUUGGAAAUAUGAGAAAUAGUGGGUAGUUGAAAUUUAAAAUUUCCAAAAUACCCCUCUUUCUUUUAAUAUGAAGUUGAACCAAUUUUUAAUUUUAAAUUGUUUGUAAUAUGUAUUAAUUUGGGAAUGUACUGGCAAAUUUAAAAGUAAGGAUUUAAAUUUGAGAAAUAGUGUUUGGGUGGUUCGGCACGAAGCGGCGGCGUGACAACCUCAGAUCUAGG